GUUGCUGCCACUGCUUUUUGGAUCACUGAGUAUGGUACGCCUUCGCCUGCCGCAAAACGUGUCAUGGAUUUCGGCUUUGCUGGGAAUCCCUGAGUGGCUGUGAAGUUGCCAGGUAUGACUGUCCGUCACCCAGGAGAUGAAGCCCCGCCCAUGAGGCAGUGACUCAAGGUGCAGGGGAGUCCGGCGAGAAGUGUGGCAUGCCCAAAUUGCUGCCACUGCUUUUUGGAUCACUGAGCACGGCAGAUUGAGUUGCCCAGGAUGGAAGACCAUUGUCAACAGGGAACCCGUCACACAUUCUGUGAAUCCCAGCCUGGUGAGACAAGGAGCAUGAGCCCCUGGGGGCCAUUGUGCAUGCAGCCCUUGGGUUUACAGAUGGAAUACCCAUGGAGGCCAGGUUGAGUGGCCCAAGAUGCAAAACUGUUGGCAACAGGUUACCCAUCGCAUAUUCCAUGAUAGCCAGCCUCUCAAGAUGAAUCUCACGAAUCCCCAGAGGCAACUGGACAAGUGGCCCUUGAGUGUACAGAUGGAACAACCAUGGCGUUGCCUUGAGUAUGCCAGGAUGGAAGACUGUUUGCAACAGAGAACUCGUCGCAUAUUCCAUGACAACUGUUCUGGCAAGACGAGGCCUGUGAGCCCCCAGAGGCUUCUGGGCAAUUGGUCCUUCGAUGUACAGGUGGAUCACCCAUGGCGCCAGAUUGAGUGGCCCAGGAUGGAAGACCAUUGGCAUCAGGGACCCAUCACAUAUUCCAUGACUCCCAGCGUGGAAAGUCGAGGCCUACGAGCUGCCACAGGCCACUGGACACGCGGCCCGUGAUGGUACAGGAGGAACACCAAUGGCUGUGCAUUUGGAGUAUUAGGAAGGACAACAGUGGCAGAUGUAUGGACCAUCCAACAGUUUUCCUCUCCCAUAAUCGGUUUCCUUUGUGGCGGAACUCCAGAUCCACAAGAGGUCCUUGUUAAACCUUUCUUGCAUCUUCUGAAUCCUUGUCUCCAGGCUAUUUAUCUGUGAUUCGAUUUUGAUUUCAAGAUUUUGGAUCAUUUUCACUAUCAUUAUUUGGAAUUCUUUAUCAGACUGGAAGUGAUGUUAGAGAGAAGGGACAUUUUGCUGCUUGGAAUUCCACUGCCACUCCAAAGAAGUGCUGUUUUCGUCACUUGUACGAGUUCCUUUUUCUGGGAAAAUUCACAGCAAUGCUUUCUAGAGACUGACAUGUUCCAAAAACUAGGUUUCCUGUGGAUGAGCUUAUUCCUUCCCCUUGAGAUGAGACAUAAAGAAAAGUGUUAGGAAUAAUUCUGCCUCCAUCCUCAAAGGCCUGUGUGAAUUCUCACAAAGAAGAUGACUUCCUGGGAGCUCUUUUGGUCAUGAACGAUACCAGUAAACCCCUGAAGGAAGACUCUUCAGACAGAGCCCUUUUGCCUCCCUCUUGUCUGAGGGCUGCCUCUGAAGGUGAUGACCACAGAGACAAGGUGGAUUUGUUACUAUAGGUGCCAUUACUUCUGCCACCAGCUUCUCCAAUACAGUGACAGUCUUCUUUGUGCAUGGAAACUCUUCUCUUUCCUGUGUUGCAGUGGAUACCUCCUGCAGAUAAGAAAUGGUUAACUGAGAAAUGCUCAUGUUGGGAUAUCAUCGAUGAGACUUUAAUUUGGGCAUGGUGACUGUUUCCCUUGCUUCCACUUGACUCAAUCCCAGGAGCCUCAGUAGAGGAAAUUAUAUUGCACAAGUGAUGGAAUUGCUCAGUACUCCCAUAAAUAUACAUUUAUAAUUUUCAUUUGCCAUGUAGUAAAUUAAAAAAAUAAGAUCUAUUAAUUUUUUUUUCAAAAACUCAAAGCAUAUCUAAACAUCUAAUAUAUAAAUUAAGUGCCCUUUUCUCUCCUAUCUCCAAGUUUUCCUCUAUUAAGGGAGUUGUGUGCCUUCUUUAAGCAGAUAGAUGCACACACACACAGACACAAGCUAUUUUAGGGGGUUCUGGAAGUAGAGCUAUAUUGUACACAUUAUUCUGCAAAUUUGCUUUCAUUUAACAGUUUUUUCAAUGCCCUUUUUUCUGUUUCAGUAAUACAUAUCUGUGUCAUCUGUUGAAUGACUGCAUGAUUGUUUUGUACAUGAAAUAUAAUCAAAUGUUUCAAACAUUUCUUAUUCAUAGAUAUUUAUGUUAGUACCAAAAAUUUCUGUGCAAUG